GACGUCGAUAUUCGACGUCAUAAACACGGUCAACUUUGGUGUUUAUGGCGUCGAUAUUCGACGUCAUAAACACGAUUAACUUAGAUGUUUAUGACGUCGAUAUUCGACGUCAUAAACACGAUCAACUUUGGUCUGUAUGACGUCGAUAUUCGACGUCAUAAACACGCUCAACUAUGGUGUUUAUGACGUCGAUAUUCGACGUCAUAAACACGAUCAACUUUGGUGUUUAUGACGUCGAUAUUCGACGUCAUAAACACGAUCAACUUUGGUGUUUAUGACGUCGAUCUUCGACGUC
rnacentral:miRNA from 1 species